rnacentral:rRNA from 1 species
UACGGAAGGCAGCAGUGGGGAAUAUUGCACAAUGGGCGCAAGCCUGAUGCAGCCAUGCCGCGUGUAUGAAAAAGGCCUUCGGGUUGUAAAGUACUUUCAGUCGUGAGGAAGGUGUUAAGGUUAAUAACCUUAGCAAUUGACGUUAGCGACAGAAGAAGCACCGGCUAACUCCGUGCCAGCAGCCGCGGUAAUACGGAGGGUGCGAGCGUUAAUCGGAAUUACUGGGCGUAAAGGGCACGCAGGCGGUUAAUUAAGUUGGAUGUGAAAUCCCCGGGCUUAACCUGGGAAUGGCAUUCAAGACUGGUUAGCUAGAGUCUUGUAGAGGGGGUAGAAUUCCACGUGUAGCGGUGAAAUGCGUAGAGAUGUGGAGGAAUACCGGUGGCGAAGGCGGCCCCUGGACAAGACUGACGCUCAUGUGCGAAAGCGUGGGGAGCAAACAGGGAUUAGAUACC